GAGGAAUAUUGCGCAAUGGGGGCAACCCUGACGCAGCGACGCCGCGUGAGUGAGGAAGGCCUUCGGGUCGUAAAGCUCUGUCAAGAGGGAAGAAGUGCAUGGUGGUUAAUAUCUGUCAUGUUUGACGGUACCUCUAAAGGAAGCACCGGCUAACUCCGUGCCAGCAGCCGCGGUAAUACGGAGGGUGCAAGCGUUGUUCGGAAUCACUGGGCGUAAAGGGCGCGCAGGCGGCCUGAUCAGUCAGAUGUGAAAGCCCACGGCUUAACUGUGGAAGUGCAUUUGAAACUGUCAGGCUUGAGUACCAGAGGGGAAAGUGGAAUUCCCGGUGUAGAGGUGAAAUUCGUAGAUAUCGGGAGGAAUACCGGUGGCGAAGGCGACUUUCUGGCUGGAUACUGACGCUGAGGCGCGAAAGCGUGGGGAGCAAAC
rnacentral:rRNA from 1 species